CUCCGUCAAACAACUGUCACUGCAACCAGCCUUCUACACCUGCUGCCAUCUGUCUGCUGGACACAGGAGCCAGGAAGAGAGCGUGGCGGCCGGGGCCCAUGGGGAGGGCGCUCUUGAUGCCACCCCGUCACAUGGACACGGACGGGAAGAGCCGGCCGGCCCCCUGAAACGCAGACGGUCAGCCCCCCGACCCCGGGUUAUUCCUGAAACGGCUGGGGCCCCAGAGAGAAGAGGGAGAGCCGGAGCGGGAGCGGGAGCGCGGCCCCUGCUCUGCGGGCGGCGGUCCUGGCCCAGGACAACAAAACAAUCAGGAGCUCGUGAGUCUGAGUCCGUCUGCGCAAAGUCAGAAACGUCUGCCCUUUCUCAGGAUGAAGGGAGAGAAGCUGCUGGCUUUCCUGCUCCACAGCAAGGAUUUUGUGUUAUUAACUCUAAAAGUGAAGCUUUCGGAGCUCAUCCAAGUGACCGGGAAGUCUGAGACCUGGUGCGACAGCGGAGUGACAGUCACCCGGAAACCCGUGUGCUCAGAGACCAGAAGUGGGCAGCCCUGCUCCGGAGGGAGGGCGAGGCAGACCUGAAAACAUACUCCAGAUACUAAUUAGCGUGGAAAGUACUUAAUUUGGGAAGCCGCUCUGUCAGACACAUUACUUGUCAGCGGGACCGCACCCUAAGAGAGCAGAAGGAGGUGGGGUGUGAGAAUACGAAGAAAGUCUCGAUACGUACACAUCUUUGCGUCUACAAUAAAUCUGUGUCACCGUUUUGCGUAUCCAGCACAGAUCUACGGUAUGUCUGCUUGUUACGAUUUCAUGGGGAACAUCUCACACCCAUACGUGAUUCCCCACAGUGAGUACCACAGAACUGCGCCCUUAGAAAUGGUAAAGAUGAUCAUUUAACGUGAUGUCCAUUUUACUACAAUUAAAUAUAACCAAAACAUUUUAAAUCUCAUGGGGGUGGGGAGAUUUGGAAGGAAAAAGCCUAAAGAGGCUCCUUACAGAAUUAACUGAUGAAAUAGAACCGAGAACGCUGUUCCAGCAGCUCCCGAGGGCCCCGGGGCACCGCUUCACGGAGGAAGGCGGCCGACCCGUGACUCACACAGAGCAGGAAUUCCGCCCCAGAGCUGGGCACCGCCUCCCCUGGGCCCCGCACCAGCACUCUGAGGAGGAGAGCUAACUUUUACAGCAAACGAUUCCAUGGCUGACUUGUGUGACCAAAGUCUGACGUCACACUUAAUAAACUCAACAGCAUCGGGUCGAAUGUUUUGGGGGGAAAAAAAAGCAAAAAACGGAACCACUUCUGCCUAGACCAUGAGCAAUCUUCCUUCUUCAAUCACACCUCCGCUCCGACAAGUGCCCGACUCACCUGCUGAUGAACGGUCUGAUGUUGUCCCCGGCGAUGGGCGCCAUGGACAUGGGCAUGGGCUCGGGCGUGGACAGCCAGUAGGAGUAGUCGUUCCGGGAGGCGAAGUUGCACACGUCGUUGAUGUUGCAGAAGAGGAAAGGCAUCGUACUGAACUUGCGCAGGCAGCUCCCGGCCGUGCCUAGAGCCGCGGGGAGAGCGAGCGUCAGGGACUGGCCUUCCGACCGGUCUGCCGCCGGGCGGCAUAACGGUCGGCGCGGGGAUGACGCUUACGUUAUAAACAGAAGGAAGUAAACGCACACGCGGGCCAGUGGGGUAAAUAAGCACGAGAUUAACUGAAAGUGAUCAAGGCAGAGGACAACCAUAAAGAAUUAUGCAGGACGUUUUCAUUAAGGGAGGAAAAUCUUUUAUAAAACUGAAUUCCGAAAGAAAUUUAACAGGGACUGAGUCUUUGUACGACGGACAGUAACCACCUGGCAAUGUCUCUAACGACCGUUUGCCGAACGUGCAGAGACUUCCUUUCUUGGGCUGCUUGCUUCCAAGCUCCGUGCCGGCUGGAGGUGUGUGUCGGUAAGCAAAUUCGGGGCAGGGUGUCUGGAGGGGACUAGAGAAAUGACAGCCAGCGGGCACCUCCUGAUGGAAACCAGCGGAGGGACAGAGCUUGCAGUGUGCGGAGAAACACAGGACAGGGUCACGUGCCCCUUGUUUAGAAGGAGCACCAGCAAAACGGCCCUAUUUUCAGACUCUCAGUGCCAACCAUGAAGUACGGACUCCAGAAAGUCUGACCGACUGAUCAUUUGAAGAAGAGAGUGAAAGCUGCACGAAUUUAAAAGGUUUCAAAGCUUUCCACAUUUUCUUGGCUUUUCUACAUUUUCUGCAUUUCUACAUUUUCUUGGCUUCCCUAGUGACAUGCUAGCGGCUGAACUCGGUGGUUCGUUUUAUCAGGAGGGAGGGAAGCGGAAUCAGGCACCGUCCACACUACCGCGUCUCACAACUCUGUCACAAGCACACGCGUCCCCAGCGUCUCACCUAGGUCCUGGCCGUGGGCCCGUUCGUUGCCUUGCACGUAGAGCAAGGAGUACCCGUGGUAAAGAAUUUUGGUCCCAGGAGGACACUGUGGGUCAUCCGUUGUCUGACUGUGCCUGGUCACAAGAAAGCCGUGGUCCACAGACGGGGUGCCUGGGGGGCCCAUGGAUCCUGGCAAGCCGUCGGGGCCUGGUGGGCCCGGGAACCCUCGUGGACCUGGAAGACGCAGGAGAACUGGGUUUCCCUGGCUGCAGAUGGGCUCCCCUGACAGGCUCGAGGAGGGGGAGUAUGGCGCCCCACCUCUGGGCUGCCCCAGCUUCUCCUCUCCACAGACCCCCCGAGAUCCACUAUAACACCCCGCCGGGUGCUGAGCAGACACCGGGAGGAUUGAGGCCAGCACGUAAAUGAGAUAGUGAGAAGGGACAGAGGAGGAAGUAGAACACGCAGCAUGAUUCCACACGUCACUCAGGCCACAUCUGGGGCUCCUCUCCAGGACGAGGGGUCACAGAGUUACUACAGCAACAUCUUCUUUGAGGGCAGCUUCCUUGCACGGCAGCCCCCAGCACGGCGCACGAAAACCGGGCAGUGAGGGCUGCGUGCUAGCGAGUCCUGCCGGCGUCCAGGGCCCUACGCCGCCUGCGAAGCUGCUCGCGGGCUUCCCGCUGGGCUAGGCCCGACCCCUCCAGGGGUGCCUCCGCCUGCAGCACCUCAGCCCUCAUGGGGCAGCCGAGGCCCACCUCCCUCGGGGAGCAGAUCGCCGCCAUGCUUGUGGCCCGCACGGGCACUGCUAUCCACCUCCUCUCCUCUCCCGCCCACGCCCCCCUCGGAGGCCCCAGGCCAUCCCCGCGGGCCAUCGCUCACCACGUCUGGAAACACUGGGCUAUAUCAAUACUGUCUCCCCCACAGAAAAAAUGAUGACGACCCUUUACCUCCUCUAUAAGACCUAUUUCUUCCCCAAAAAAACCAAAAACAAAAACAAAAAACAAACAAAACGAAACAAAACCAGACUUCUUUGGAAAUCUAUCAAGUAACGUGUUCCAUCCCACUAUGCAGCUUUCCGCCCGCGUGAGCCUCCCGCUUUGAACCCGAGGACGCGGGUGGAGGGCGGCCGGUUGGGGAGGACACGGCAAACCUACCAGGGGGCCCGAAGGGGCCCGUCUCUCCUUUCUGGCCAGGGGCGCCGUCAAAACCAGGAACACCGGGCGGUCCGGGUAAGCCCACGGAUCCUGUCACGCCUACAGGAAAGGACAGGGAAUUCGCCACCCGGUCCAGAGCGCCGCAGGCUCUAACUUCUUCCCUUUUGCAGUGCGUCCGGUCAGCUGCAGAGAGGAAGCUCUCCCGGACGGCCAGGAGCGCCUCCCACGAAGCCUCGUUGGCAGCCCCCGGGGCAGCGGGCAAACCCGCGUUUGCAGGCUGCACGCCCCAACGUCUGAUUCGGAGCUCCCCUGACCCUCACUGCCACUGCUGUCCGCGCCCGGUGUGGGGAAAGGCAGCUUCGUCGGGGGAGAGGAGGGCUGUGAUACACAGGGGGCUCCCACGCAUCUCCCCAGGCCACACUGCCGAGCCUCCAGUCAUUGGUACGCAACAGAUACACCCACGCGGAUAGACUCCUGCUCUCUGUGCUCCCUGUACCCACGGCCGCUUACACUUAGAGCUUCACAGAUGCCCACUCUCGGCUGUCGCGUUUUCCUUCUCCUGUAGCGUCCGCCCACCCUUGCCAGUAGCUCUUGCGACUGGAGUGUUCAGAAAGUUCUAGCGCAGGAGUCUGGGAACCGCAGGCACGGACUGCCGGCUGGCUGGGUCCCCUGGGCCGCUCUUAGGACCCAUUCUUGCUGUUCCAGACCGACACCUCCUGCCGUCCCUCAGCUUCUGGCUGGACAAGGUGAUCUCUGCGUCUGCAGCCCGUGGGCUCCGCAGCAGGCACAGAUGUGUCCGACCUUACGUCCCUCUAGCUUCUCCUGUAUUCUGUCCUGGCUUUCUCAGUCCUCUCAAAAACUUCACGAGGUUUUGAUACCCACUGAAGCAAAGUAGGAAAGUCAUACUCAAACCUGGGUCUACACCGUCACCACCUAGAGGCGUGUGAUUUGAGACACACGUGGAGAGGAAAGCCCGCCAAGCCCCUCCCUGACCCCCACACCGCCCUUUGCAGCUCAGCUAGUCUUACCUUGCUGUCCUUUGGGGCCUGGAGGCCCUGGGAGCCCCUUCAGACCUGCAGGACCCUCGGGACCAGGAAGCCCUGGCUCCCCUUUGAUGAUGUCGUAGGGUCCGGGGGGCCCUGGGGGACCGGGAAGGCCUGUGGAAAUCAGGGGUGCCGCUGGUCAGAUCCACUGUCAAUGUCCCCGGAGAAGGGCCCAAUGUGAAACCCAAUGCAAACACACGGUUCUCAGAAUCCGGUCGGCAUCAAAAUGACAAGUCACCGGUCUCCGUGAACACACACGUGCGGGCACACGUCUAUUGUUUAAUGUGAAAUCCUGAAUCCUCAGGCUGGGUUCAUUGGUACAAACCGGCCGCUGAGCUUCGGAGUCCCUGGCAACCGCCCGGUGACCCUCCGCUGUACAGGCCCAGCAGGGGAGGCCCCGUCCCAGGGAGCCCAGCUGUCCCCGGAGGGCUGCAGCGCAUGCGCCGAGAGGGUUUCUUCUCGCGCUUCUCUGGAAUCGGCCGUAGGUACGUUACAGCCACGGGCCUUCAUUUCCAGUGACGCAUACACCUAACCCCUCUGCGUGGCCGCUCUGGAGAGAUGGGGGGUGACCCCAUCUGCAGGGCCUCCGCGUCGGCCUCACCCCAGGCCUCUCCUGCCCUCCACACGUGGCCUCCACACACCUUCCCCAUUUCUUCAGUUCCAGACAUUGUACUGCUCAGUGUCUCUCAAAGCCUGAUUUUGAAAAUUCAGCACAGCCCUGGAAACACGUCGGCCCAGCAGGACCCAGGACAGGACACUGGCUGUACUUCAACCAUUUCCCCCCCCGAGACUGGCUUGGGGUGUGGGAGCCGGCGCACACCGCGGUGGUGGAGAAGCCGAGGGACAGUCUUCCCUAUGCAGAGCUCCGUGCUGCCCAGACCCAAGCGGCCCGUCCAUGCAAGGCCGAGCGCCUCCUGGGACAGCUGCGUGGUGGGGCUGCCUGCCUCCAAGCUGCGGGCUGGGACUCUGGAGUCUGUCCUGCCCUCUCCUCCAGAUUUACCCCCAGAUAAUGACCCUGACUUUCAAGACAUGUAAUAAGAAUGUCCUGACAAGCUACCAAAGAAUUUUUAAUCAACUAUUUCCUAACGAUACUCAAGCCUCUGGCAUCCGUAAAACCAAACUCCCCGAUUCUGUGCGUUCGAGGCGUGAGUAAGGCCCCACCAGCACAGCGACGCUCUUACCUUUACUUCCCGGGAAACCUUGGUCACCUGGAUCCCCCUUCACUCCCUGCAGGCCAGGGAGGCCUUUCUGACCUGGACGAAAGAAGAACAUGGUCUGCGCGGAAUUCCCAAUGACGCGCAAGCCUGGGCACAUGGGAGCUCGCGGGCACACACACCUGCACACGCGUGUGCCCAUGACAUGUGUGUCCUCAUACACGCACACGCAGGUCGAUGUGCACCCACGGCUACAUGCGCACACACACAGUGAACAAGCUUUCAUUUGUUCUCGGGGAAGAAAAGAACAACACUUCUGGUCAGCCGUGUAAGACUUCUAACGAAAUGCUUCUUUCCAGAACCUAAAAGUCUCAUUUUCCCCAACAUCCAGCAAACUGCAUAACGAUCACGAACAGUGGUGCGGCACAGGAUCCUGUUUUCGGCCACAACCCGGUUCACCCAGGUCCCCAGAUAGACCCCAGGACGCCUGCGGGCGGAGGGCUUGUUUGCUCCACCUGCCGUCCAGAUACACCGGAUUCAGCAACAAAACCGCGGUGCCGGGAAGCCGAGAGGCACCAGUGAAUGUCCCCUAAUACGUUAAUAAAUUCAAGAACGCCCCAAGCCCCUGAUUUCUCACUGAUACACAAAUGAUGGAGAUAAAAACGAUCCACUGAUUCUGAAUGAGAAAAUCAGAGUGUUUUAUCCAGCCCUUCACAGGGUGAGGCUAAUCGGGCUGGCACGGCACGAAACAGCGUGUUUAAAACGAAGAGAACAAUGUCUUGCACCGUAAUGAGGCCGGCCUGUCAACGUCCAAGGGCCAGUGGUCAGGUGUGGCCCCUCCUCUAUUGCUUUACCUUGAAAUCCUGGCACUCCUGGAGGCCCCAUGUCACCCUUCGAGCCCGUGAUCCCUGGCGAGCCACCAAUCCCCUAGACACACAAGGAGAAGGUCAGCCAGGAAAUGCUCAGGACACGUGGUAGUCACUGCAUCAGCUGAGCACCCCUGAUCCCGCGGCCGGGGACCCUACAGGACCGAGAAUGGAUGUACACCGGGGUAAAGACACGUGUGCCCAGACUAUGGCCUUGGGGCGACGCGGGUUCUCCUGCAGACCUGUCCCACCAGAACAGGCACAUUCUUUUCUUCACAAAGCAGAUGCCGCCCUUGAAUUCAAUGUACCUGGCAGGCCCAUUCCACCAACUGAUCCUUUGGGUCCAGGGAGACCUGGAGCGCCCGGGGUUCCGCCUAUGCCUGGGUCCCCUUUAGGUCCUGGGAUAACAGAGAAGGACCCGCAGGUUAGUGCCUAAGAGAAGGGCUGUCUGCCACUUCCCAGUCACGAGCUCCUGCCGCGGGGGGGACCUGGAACUUGCUCCGUACCUGGCU